rnacentral:tRNA from 1 species
GAACGUAGUUCAGUGGUAGAACAUCACCUUGCCAUGGUGGGGGUCACGGGUUCGAGUCCCGCCGUUCGCUUUGCCA